GGCACUAUGGCCGAGUGGUUAAGGCGAAAGACUUGAACUUUACAUAUUCAGCCAUCUUUUGGGAUUUUCCCGCGUCGGUUCAAAUCCGGCUGGUGUCG